UACUCCAUAUUCUCUAUAUUGAGAUCAUGUUCAUCUUGUUAUUGAUCUUGAGAUUUCACCUCGAGCCAUGAUUAUAUCUGGUCUCAUGUGCAUAGUACUCUCUACUCCACUCACUGAGUAUUUAUAUACUCACUCCCCAGUUUGGUGUUUUUGAUUGCAGGGCAGGUAUUGUAUAGAGAAGAGCAGGGUUAGAGAUUGCCUGCUAGCUGUGCCACUCCAUAGUAUAGUAUAGUAUAAUGUAGAUAGAGGUUUAUACCUUUUGGUGUAUUACAAACCUUCUAUUGUAUAUAGUGCAUAGUUACAGUCAUAGAUCCUGUUGUGGAUAUGGGUUUGACCAUGGAUGAAUUGGGAAGCAGGUAUAUAUAUAUGUGUGCAGAUCAAUUAUAUGCCUGAGAUAAUGUAUUGAUAUAUAUUGUCCAGGUUCAUUAUGUGACAGAUUAUGUGAUUGCUGCUCUGACAGGUAGUGUUGUUGUAUGUAUUGAAAUAAUCCUGACAGGUCACUAUAGGAAAGGUGAUCAUUUUGUGCAUGCAUCAUGCCAAAUUUUUCAAGAUUUAUUGAUGAU
rnacentral:lncRNA from 1 species